UACGGAGGGUGCGAGCGUUGUCCGGAAUCAUUGGGCGUAAAGGGCGCGUAGGCGGUUUGGUAAGUCUGAUGUGAAAUCUAUGGGCUCAACUCAUAGUCUGCAUCGGAAACUGCCGGGCUUGAGUGUGGGAGAGGUGAGUGGAAUUCCUGGUGUAGCGGUGAAAUGCGUAGAUAUCAGGAGGAACACCUGUGGCGAAAGCGGCUCACUGGACCAUAACUGACGCUGAUGCACGAAAGCUAGGGGAGCAAACAGG
rnacentral:rRNA from 1 species